rnacentral:lncRNA from 1 species
UAAGGCCCACCUCUUCCUCAUCCUCUCCAUCUUGCUGCCGUGAAUUGCUUCUCUACCUUUUCAUUUUCUUCGUGCGGUUUCCCCUCCAUCUUCCUCUCUUUCACUCGAGAAAACCGAAGCCCCUUUCUCUCUUCCGUGGACCUCCUUGUCUCACGCUGCAGCUGGCCACGCAUCAAGCGGCAAUUGAUGCUGCUUCUUGUCUCCAUAUGCAGUCAACAAACUAGCUUUUGUUGACCUCUGAAGCAGCGCCCAUCUCCACUACUUCGUGUCUCCUCCAGCAACAUUAAAGACUUACCGAAGCUGCCCCAUGCGAAGCCAUUCACCGAGUCUUCUCCUCUUGCCGCGAGUCCAACGUCAACCAUUGCAGGAAGGAGCCGCACCGUCCACGGUUUGCUUCCUCUCUUCGUGCGUCCAGUGAAGCCUCCACGCGUCCAGUAGCUGCGGAAGUUCAUUCCACCGAAGCCCUGUUGAUUUAAACCACCUCACGUGCACACGAUCCAGUCAACGGUACCCUCUCCCCCACCGUUUGUUGACCGAAGUCUCCACGACCAGCAGUCCCACGAAGAAUUCUCUACUUCGGCUUGUCUUCAACGAUCAACGAACCAGCGCCCUCCACCAGCGUUGAUUUCGUGUUCCGCCUAGCAACAGCAACGAGCUGCUUCUUCGAGUAUUCCGCUAGACCGGUCAACUCCAGCAACCCCGAGAAGACCAAGCCCAUAGAUCCUCCUCCGUUUUCCUUCGUACAAGCUCAGGCCCAGCUCAGCAGCCCAUGUGAUCUUCAGUCCAACAAACUAGCUGAAGACAAGCCCUGCAGCAAGCCCAGCCCGUGAGCUUCAGUCCUUUGGGCCACCGAAUUCAGCACAAGACCAGCAAGCCCAGUUCAGCUAGCGCAGUUAGUUCAGUCCAGAAAUUCAGCAGGUCCAGCCCAUUCCCGUGCAAGAACAAAUCUCAAUUGGGCUGAGAUUUGUUGGGCCUAAGCUUAAGGCCCGGUCCAAGUCCGCCGGCGUUGUCGAAAGUUCGAUUUCGGCCGCCGUCGUGUCGCCGUUGCGGUGAUUCGAUCUCCGCUUUUAUCAAGUGAGUUUUACUCACUAAUGCUUUAUUAGUUUGCUAAUUAUGCCUUAGGGUUGGUUAGAUUUAAUUACAUGCACUUAGGUGGUUAGAUUAGGUUAGAACAAUUAAAUUAGUGACUUGAGGAUGCAUGUUAGGUGGUUAGACCUAGCUAUUAGCAAGUAGAAAUGUUUGGUUAUUUAUUGAAUGUAUCUCGGGAUUUUUCCCGACCCGUUUCGGGCUCCAAUAAGGCAAUAUGGGCCUAAAUUGGAUUUUCAAUGUUUAUUUAUUUAUUUUCGAAAUUUAUUUAUUUAAUUAAUUAUUUUUCCGGAAAUUCAACCGGGAUGGCCGGUGACCGGAAUUUCGUGCCGAUUGUCGUGGUGCAGUCCGUUUAUUUAUUUGAGCUCUACGUUGUGUGGAAUUGAAUUUAUUGUGGAAUUUUAGGAAUUGUCCUAAAUUGUUUGUUAUUGAGUAUUUGAUUGGUAAUGGCUAAGCUUGGAUAUAUAGCGCCGGUACGUUGAUGGGCUAUAUAGUAGGGAGAAUGGUGAGACCAAUCAGGUACGAUAUUAUUGGAGAUACGUGGUUCGGUGAUUGGAAGUAUCACUGGCGAAAACGGCGCCUUAAAAAACGCACGUAAAUGACUUAUAGACAAACGUGGUUCGGUGGUUAUGGGAAUAUCACUGGUGAAAACGGCGCCUUAAAGAACGCACGAUGUUGUCUAUAGCCGAUGUCACCUUGGCGAAAACGGCGCCCUUGAAAGGACACGUGGUUCGGUGAUCAAGGUUAUCACUGGUGAAAACGGCGCCUUAAAGAACGCACGGUGUCGGUGAUCGGUAUGUCAUUGGCGAAAACGACGCCCAAGAAACACAUGUGAUUUGGUGAAUGAGUACACCACUGGGAAAUCGUGGUAUGAGUGGGAAUGACCUAGAAAGGGUCUGGCUGACUUGUAAUCGACUUAGUCGAUUGAUCAAUGCUUGAUCGGAUGUCGUGAAUUGUUUGAAUACUUGUGUUUAACCUUGAAUUGCAGGUUGGAACUGAGGCCAAGGUAAGUCCUCUGACUCGUGUUGUGCUUAGGCAACCGUAUGGUGUAUUAGUUUACUAAUCGAGUCGUAGGGGGUAGGACUCGCUGAGACGUGGUCUCAUUGGUUAUUGAAUAACCAUUUCAGGACCCUGAGGAGAAGCUAAGGAAGAGGAACCUGAAGGGGAGAAAGACUUUUGAAGAAGAAGAAGAUCCAGAGAGGGAUCUUGAAUAUAACCCAGAUGUGGAUUGAGAUCCCAUCCCUUUUGUGAACCCUGUCUUAGUGUAGAUAGGUGUGAGACAAGUAUGUUGUGAAUAGUAUUGUAAAUAUACUAUGAGUUGUGCUGUUAAUGAAAGUG